AAGCAUGUGGGUACAUCAUGUUGAUACUGUAUCUGCACUGGCAAUAUCAAUAGAUUGCUCUCUUCUUUAUUCUGCCUUAUGGGAUCGAACAUUCAAAGUUUGGCGGACAUCUGAUUUCAAGUGUUUGGAGUCUGUACAAAAUGCACAUGAUGAUGCCAUGAAUGCCAUAGUAUUGUCUAAAGAUGGCUUUGUUUAUACAGGUUCAGCAGACAAGACAUUUAAGGUAUAGAAGAAGCAUGCAGGAGAAAAUAAACAUUUGCUGCUAGCAACACCGGAGAAACACAAAUAAGCUGUUAAUGCUUUAGCUCUUAAUAAUGAUGGGACUGUACUUUAUUCUGGUGCAUGUGAUCGAUCCAUUCUUGUUUGGGAAAGGGAAAGCAGUGCCAAGGGAGUGGUAAUAGGCACAUGGUUUAGGUUGGUGCACUUAGAGGGCGUACCAAGGCUAUAUUGUGCUUGGCAGUUGUGAUGGAUUUGACAUGCAGUGGAUCAGCUGAUGAAACAGUUAGGAUUUGGAGGAGAGGAACUGACAAAAGCUAUUCUUGCUUGGCAGUUUUGGAAGGGCACAGAAGGCCAGUUAAAUGCUUGACGGCAGCAGUUGAUGGUAAACUAAAACUGCAGGUGCUUCUGAACCUGGUACUACUUACAUGGUUUGCAGUGGGAGUUUGGACUAUGAUAUUAAGGUCUGGCAAGUAUGGGCUCCAGUUUUCUGAUCUUUUUCUUUUUCCUUUACUUUGUGAUUUUAUAAAGUGGGUUUUCCUGGCAUAUACAAGACUUAGUAGCUUCAGGAAAAUUAGGAAUUGAAUUCUAUUAACAUUAGUGGUUUGUCCGAAAUAUAUAGAUAGUGAUCUAUUGUGAAUUUGAUUUCAGAUGAGAGAUCCAUUAAUUGGAUCAAAUGAGUUGAUGUAUCUUCAAUUUAUCCCAUAGUGUAGAAGCUAUUAAGAAAUAUUCUCUCAAAUUCCAGAGUUUGAUCAUUUCUGAAAAAUGAAAACAACUUUAGUAUGCUUAGCCUCACAUGCACAAAAUAUACCCAAAAUUUAAUAAGAAAAUUCAAAGUUUAUCAACUUAUUAAAACCGAAGCAUUGAUGUUGAAGAUUGCUGCUGUAAGUGUUUCAACUUUCUUUAGCAUCAUAUGACAAGAGACCUAACAGCAUUUAAAGGGAUUUCAUACAGAAAGACAAUCAAUGCAUAGAAAAGGGAAAAUCUGACCUUCCCUUACAUCUUUUACAGUAAGAAGCAUUUAAUUAUCUUCUCAAUGAUUUGUAUGCUUUAUGAGUUGCCUGCAAGAGGUGGCAAAAGUUUUACAUAAAAAUAAAAAAGCUAGAAAGUUAGAUUAGCAAGGAUCAACAAUUAAAAUAUUUUAUAUUUCUCCCAUACAUGGGCAUUGCUCAACUAAACAAGGCAAAACUAGUUUUUAUAUCAUCGCAGAUCAAUGUCAAUUUGCAUUUUGAGCAAGCAAAAUGUUCAGAGGUAUUACUAAACUAUUCUAAGAGAAGCUUGACACUGUUGCUGCAAAGAUAUGAUCUGAAUCUGUCGUAUGCCAUCAGAUCACAGCCAACUAAAAGUUAGUAAACUGCCCGCACUGAAAAGGACACAACCAGAAGGGUUUAUGCAUGAAAAAAAACUCAAAUUGCUGCCAUUACCAGACAUUAAAUGAAUACAUUAUGUCAUUGAGUAGCUUACGGGAUGAUAAGAUGGUAUGUCAAAGCAUUAACACCAAAUUAAAUCUUGUUCCAAUAAACGAGGACCAAUAUGCUGCGACCAGAAGUAAAAUAAUAAAUUACAGAACUGACUGUGACCUAGUAUCCAUGCGGCAUUAAACAACACCUUAAGUACUAAUAAUUACUCAGUCAAAAAAAGUAUAACUAUUAAUAAUUCAAAUGUCAUGAGGUAUACAACAGUCAUUCAAUUUUCUUGUUGAACAGAGAUAUGUUAAUUUGUUAUUUCAGGAAAUUUUAAAUUUUUAUGUUCCUCAGUGUACCAAGACAAACUCAAGAGGAAUUAAUGUGCAUUUUGAUUUGAACAAUUUCUACGUUUCUUACCCUUUACAGAUAAAUCAGACAACCAAAAGCUAUGGAUUUGGACAGAUGUUUGAAAUGGUCCUACACAAAUCUGGAGAACAGCUCAAUUGCUAAAAAGAAAUAGAUAAUUCUUCUCACACAGUAACAGGAAAUCUAAAAAAUAUAAAAAAGCUUUACCCAGGAAUGAGUAUUGCCUCACUAAACUAAAUUAGUAUGAUUUUGAAGUUUUCAGCACAAUUUCAUGAGUACUUUGUUGGUAUAAUUAUAUCCGUUGAUCAUAUAUUUCUAUAAUUUAUUAUUAUAUCUUUACUAAAAUAUAUUAUUCCAUGAUGUGUUGUAAAGAUUUAGUCCACUUAAUUAAUCACAAGUGGGGUGUCAGUUACGUUAAAAGUCAUCUACCAGGCCUUAGUUUAUUAAACCCUCACUUUAUCCUCUACAAACUUUUGUUUUUUUUUCAUGAUAUUUAAAGAUAAUGGAGAUGGGACUUUUUCAAAUAGGGCACAAGGUCCAGUUAACAAUCCUCUUGAAGGUAAUUAAAGAAAGAUGCUAAACAUUAUCAACCUAUUUGAUGUAGCAGCUUUGUGCACAUCCAUGUUUCUGCUGCCACAUUGAUUAACAUAUCCAUGGCAAGAAAUAUUCUCCUCUUUGCUUUUUAUCCAUAGCCUUUAUAAACUGGAAAGGUAUGGCUAAAUCAAACAGCAGUUAUACUCUAGCCUGACGUGAGAUUGACAACAUCCAACACCUAAGACAAGUAUCAAAGCCAGCUGCCCACCGACAAUGAAAUAGUUAUGCAUAGCAAAGCCUAAUAAAUAUGGGUAUAAGUAAAUCCGCAGCAAUACCUCUUCCUUCACAACCACUAAGCAAAUUUAAUAUUUUUCAAAGUUCAAGUUUAGCCUAUGCAAACAUAUUAUUCGGCAGUUUAAUAUUGAAAUACUAAUCAUGACAUGUUAAAGCAAAUAUAAUUUGGCACCUCUUCUUUUUAAACUACAAAGAACAUUCAAGCUGAAUGCUUUUUUCUGAGCUAAAAACCAGAAUGAUGUUUUCUCAGAAAAUUUUUAAUGCCUAUCUAAUUUUGUAAGCUGCAUAGAGGAAAGCAAUAUUAAUCACAGAACUAAUAAUUUUCUGAAAAUUAUUACUACUACAUCAUCUGCCAUGUCUGGUAACCAGAUUUCUAGCAGGCUACUUUCUUUCUGGAGGUAGGUAUAAUUAUGCCCUCAUAAGAAAGACUUGAUAUCAGAACAAGGUAUACUAUACCUAAUAUGAAUCAAAGAAAUCUAAAUAAUCCAUCUCAUUUUCCUCUCCCCCCUACUUCUUUUCCUUCUUCUCCCUCUCCUCGUGUAAACACAUCAGAUACAGAAAGCUGAAGCAUAAGUUCUUAAGAUGCCACAGGUCUCACUGACAGGGAAGAGUGUGUGUUGAGGUUAGGACCUAUAUGAAUGUUACGAUAAUCAAUCAUGAAUUCCAUUGACAUUAAUUGGAUGAGAAUGCCUGUAAAUCACACAUGUGAAGCUCUUGUGCAUCGUGAUCUGUGCACUAAUUGUAGAUUUAUCGGAGGAAUCACUUCUAUCAAACAAGAAUAUUUCCUCAAGUAUAACUAAUUUAAUGGAAGAUCAACAUGGAGUAUGUGUGGCUGAUCCAAACAUUAUCUGAACCCAUCUGGAAGAUCAAGAAAUGACCAAUUUAUCUCAUGAGAGUUAAAGAAAUUAGUGAAAGAGCAGAAAGUUAAGCCGGUAGAUAAAUUUACAUUAUCAACCUCGGUGCUAAGAAUCAAGGAUCUCCCAUUUGCAAACCCAAAUAUAUGUAUGUAUAUAUAUAUAUAUUUUACUACAGUCAUCUUUGACAAGUUUGGAGUAAAGUGCCAGAGUUUCUUGUAGAAGUGAAUAUGAUCAUGGGGAAAAAGAACAUUGUAGCAGAAUUUCUUCCAUUGUAAUAAAUUUCAUCCAAAUGCACAAAAUAUGAUGUCUACUUAACGCUGAACUGUAAACUUUGAAGUUUUGGCUAAAUAAAAUAACAGAUAAACAUAGCAUCAAUAAAGAUAGAUACCCAAUUACCCAUUAUAAAAAUAAAUAAAUAAAUAAAGAUAGAUACCAGAGAAGAGGUAUAACAUGAAAUUCACCUGAUUCUGUUUCCUCCCGUGCCUUCAUAUUCCAAAACAAGCAUGGGUAAAUUUCAAAGUUGAGAGUAAUCAAUCCACAAAUUAUAACAAAUGGUAAUGCAAAGAAUGGGUAAAAACAAAAGGAAAAAACAGAAUCCAAGUUGAGGAGUUAUUAUUAGCAUUUUAACCAUUAUAAUUUGUGGAAGAUGAAAGUUUCAAGAUAAUUACAACAUACUAGCCUGGCGAAUUUAUUAUCUUAUGUUCACAGCACUUCCACUGGAAAUGUAAAGAAACAAAAACAAGGAAAAGGAAAAUAUUACAAUCAAAUUUUACGGCAGAAACUGACCUGGAGCACACGAUUUACGCCCAGCCAAAAAAAAAAUCCGGUUAUUUUCUGUUGAAAUUUCAGGAUCAUCAUACGGGAAAAUCUAAAAUGUGCUCUUUGGCGGGGAAAAUGUUUUUUU
rnacentral:lncRNA from 1 species